rnacentral:tmRNA from 1 species
GGGGAUGACAUGGUUUCGACGGGGAUGAGGAUGGUCAGAACGGCAUCUCGUGCUCUCCGCGUUGCACGUAAAUAAAGCGGAAAACAAUAAGUGCAGAUUACAACUACGCACUGGCUGCUUAAUUAAAGCAACCCAUCCUAUGUGAUUAUGCCCAACGAAUCAUAAUAGGGUGUCGCUAAAGUUGGGAUAGUUUGAUAACAUUCUCAGGGUCAUCAAGCGAAACCUUACUGAGAUAGCUUGCAAUGACUGAGUUCGCUCCGGAAUUUGCAGGCAAACCUUUACCGAGCGGACUAUUGAUGUAAAUGUUCUGGUGGUCUUCUCUUCGGACCGGGGUUCGAUUCCCCGCAUCUCCACAA